rnacentral:lncRNA from 1 species
ACUGGUUGGAGAUUCCUUCUUUGUGGAGUCCUUUCCAUGAGCCUUGAGCUUCAGAGAUAGGCUGCAAUGAGGUAUUUCUGCAGCCUUCUCUUCUCCAGGAACAAGCCAAGCUCCUUCAGCCUAUCUUCAUAGGAGGAGAGGUGCUCCAGCCCUCUGACCGUUUUUUGUAGUCCUCAUCUGGACCCUCUUCAAAAGCUCCAUAUCUUUCCUGUGUUGAGGACACCAGACAUAGAGGCAAUAUCGUAGCUGGGGACUCACAAGAGCCCCCUGAUCAGGUGACCAGUAGUACACUCCAACUACUAGAUGCCCCUUAUUGGUCCUGUCCCUAAUGUUUCACCCAGAAGCUCUCAACCUGGUUGUUUUUUUUUUUGUCACUUUGACCACCUUUGAGAUGGCUGCUGUCAAAUUCACUGUCCUCCAUAUGCUGCUGCAUCUUGUUUUCCCCUGUGUCUGAGCCAGGCCUGGUGCUGGCUUUGCUGCUGGGGCUGGUGAUGCAACGCUGCCACACUGGACCAGGUGCUGGGGCAAGAGGUGGUGGAGGAACCUCAGGAGCCAUGAGUUGACAUUAAAGAGGAAGAGUGGCAGAACUAUCCAAAGGAGAAGAGCCAAAUAAUAACAAUCAUUAGUUCUGUGCUCAAAUGGAAGCUAAAGGGACUAAAGAGGCAAACUGACCAAGAAGGUAUCCAUCAUACACAGUGUUCAUGCUGUGAAGACAAAAAUAAGUGCCUUGGGUAAAGUUCUGUGCUGUGGGACACAGAAUCACUUUCUUAAUGCCGAUGGCAAAAUGGCAGACAGGAAGAAGUAGUAAUAUAUCAAGUGAAUGAAGGCAUGAAGUUCUCCUACAAAAAGGGAGAUGCAUAUAGGAUGGCUUUGAGAGGUUCUAGGCCUCUAGACAUGUAAAGUACAUGUACACUGCAGUCAUUCAGCAUACUCAUUGAAAUGUACCAGUUUGAUUUCCAUUUCUGACCAGUUUGAUUUUCAUUUCUCUGUGAAAAUGGGGAAAAUGGCACAGGAUAAACAGACAGUUAAAAAAAAAAAAAUUACAUUGCAGUUCAGCUACUCAAUGGGGAACAUUGAGCAUUGAAGCUCACGUUGGUGACCUUCACAUGAUUAGAUAUUGCAUGAAUAAAAUAUCUAUUGCUUGAACUAUCGUAUUCUCUUCGCACAUUGAAAUUCUGGGCAGCUUUGUUCUUUUUGUGCCAAUUGUUAAAGGUGAUUAGCAGUUGCAGUUGUAGAGUAACACAACACUGACAUUUAUAUUUCUUACUGUGGCCUUAUGUAUGCUCGCCCUGUAAGACAAAGGUAGAGUGUUAAAUAUCUGUACCAUAUUCUGUAAUGCACUACAGGAAUAUGCUCAUCUUUCAGAUUUAAUUUUUUUUUCCAAUUCAUUUAUUCUAAUUUAGACAAAGGGUAAAUACUUUCUCAGUCAAGCCUUGGGAAUAACAAAUCAGUAGCAUGGUUUGCUUUCUCUUUUGGUCACCAAGGGCUGCCUAUAGCUUCUUCAAGCUCUCAGUUUCUGACUUGGCAUGUUUGUUUGAUUUCUCUCCAUGCUGAUAUAGCUCAGGUGCGUGAACGAAUAUUUGAACAAAAUGGGUAUUAAAUAUGAUUCCUAUAGUUUUCUAGGCUAGUAAUAAUUGCAGAGUAGGCCUGAUACAUUUCUGAGGAAUGGAGCCUAUAAUGAUCUCAAUCCAGGAGAGCAUUUAUAUCUAAAAGUGAAUCACCUCUACGAGUAUUCCCAACUUAUAAUCAAAGUGAGCAGAGGAAGAGUUAGGAUUGUCACUUUUGGAUAAUUAUAGGUAUUGUGUAGCAAAGGAUAUAAGUAUUAAGAGAACUGGUCAAAUCACAAAUGGCUGUUUUACCAUGUUUUCCUACUAAGAAAUGUUUAUUUUUUUCCUUAAUACAUCCUGCUAUUCCAGUGUCACUCUUUAACUUGUUGUUCUGUUGUAUUUUUUUUUAUCACAGUUGCCAUUAAAAAAAUCAAACCCAGUACAUUUUACUUUCCAAAAUGUUUCAAAGGUAUUUGUGUUUGUUUUAAUGUAAGAUUUCUUGAAGUACUUUUUUUUAAUUCAUUCUGGUAGCAUUUGUCUUUGCAACAGAACUUUUUUCCUGUCUCUAUUUGUUACUUUCCAUCUUAAAGAAGAAAAUUGAACAAAAGUAUUCCCAUGACUUCUUGAAAAUUCAUACCAAGACAUUGCAAGACCAGAUGCUAAAGUCUCAUAAAUUAAAAAGGCAUUAUAUACAGCCAGCUGUACCAUAUAAACUCAGAUUUUUAUACCACAUUGUGGUGUUCUGCGAAUCCUCAUUUGUUUUCCACAUCUGUUUGGACCUGUCCAUGCCUCCCAUUUAAAAAUUAGAAGUAAUCAUAUGCUAGAACAUAUCUGUAUGUUUGUGGUUUGACCUAAUGAAAAAGCUAUUAUAGUAUGAAUAUUGUGUUCAAAAAAAAAAAGAAUAUUCUGCUUUUACUUUUGCUGAUUGUAGGACAGUUUAUACAAAAGCAUUAUAGGGAAUAAGUUCCAUAUAAAGAUUUUUUUCUUGCAGUUCCAGUGGAUUAUUCACUUCUACAUGAAAAAUGUUAUGCUAUCUGGCUCUUUGAUGUAUAUCCCUUCUUAUUGGCAUUUCAACAUUCGUAUACUACUCUAAUUUUUUUAUGAUAAGUUACUAAAUCCUGCUCUAGACACAUCUCUUAAUGAGCAUUUUAAUAAUGCCUUUGCAUGGUCUCCAAAACCAAUUUCAGCUUUCUGUGUGUGAAGGUGACACAAUGAAUUAUAGGUGGAUUACUUGAAAU